GACGAACGCUGGCGGCGUGCCUAAUACAUGCCAGUAGAACGCUGAAGAGAGGAGCUUGCUCUUCUUGGAUGAGUUGCGAACGGGUGAGUAACGCGUAGGUAACCUGCCUUGUAGCGGGGGAUAACUAUUGGAAACGAUAGCUAAUACCGCAUAACAAUGGAUGACACAUGUCAUUUAUUUGAAAGGGGCAAUUGCUCCACUACAAGAUGGACCUGCGUUGUAUUAGCUAGUAGGUGAGGUAAUGGCUCACCUAGGCGACGAUACAUAGCCGACCUGAGAGGGUGAUCGGCCACACUGGGACUGAGACACGGCCCAGACUCCUACGGGAGGCAGCAGUAGGGAAUCUUCGGCAAUGGGGGCAACCCUGACCGAGCAACGCCGCGUGAGUGAAGAAGGUUUUCGGAUCGUAAAGCUCUGUUGUAAGUCAAGAACGGGUGUGAGAGUGGAAAGUUCACACUGUGACGGUAGCUUAACAGAAAGGGACGGCUAACUACGUG
rnacentral:rRNA from 1 species